rnacentral:misc_RNA from 1 species
AACGCACCUUGCGCUCUUUAGUUAUUCUGAAGAGCAUGCUUGUUUGAGUGUCGCGAACUUCUCAACCCCGCUUUUGCUAACGCUUAAGUAGCUUGGGCUUUGGAUCAUGGUCUUUUGCCAGUAACAAUGGCUAGACUCAAAUACAAGAAGCUGCAUGCACGCAUAGUAACGGCUUGACCUGAUGUUGUAGUAUCUAUAAACUCAUCGGGGAUCGUUGCUGAAAGUUGCAAAGAGCUUUGAACUUAAGCGAAUUGAUAGUACAUAAUGACCUCAAAUCAAGUAGGACUACCCGCUGAACUUAA